rnacentral:rRNA from 1 species
GAACGCUGGCGGCGAUGCCUUACACAUGCAAGUACGAACGGUAACAGGGAGCUUGCUCCGCUGACGAGUGGCGAACGGGUGAGUAAUGUAUCGGAACGUACCAUUCAGUGGGGGAUAACGUAGCGAAAGUUACGCUAAUACCGCAUAUUCUGUGAGCAGGAAAGCAGGGGAUCGCAAGACCUUGCGCUGAUUGAGCGGCCGAUAUCAGAUUAGCUAGUUGGUGAGGUAAAGGCUCACCAAGGCGACGAUCUGUAGCGGGUCUGAGAGGAUGAUCCGCCACACUGGAACUGAGACACGGUCCAGACUCCUACGGGAGGCAGCAGUGGGGAAUUUUGGACAAUGGGGGCAACCCUGAUCCAGCCAUGCCGCGUGAGUGAAGAAGGCCUUCGGGUUGUAAAGCUCUUUCGGCCGGGAAAAAAAUCGCAUCAGUUAAUACCUGGUGUGGAUGAUGGUACCGGAAUAAGAAGCACCGGCUAACUACGUG